rnacentral:tRNA from 1 species
GCCGAAAUAGCUUAGUUGGCAGAGCGUUAGACAUUGGGUCGAAUGUCUCUGGUUCGAUCCCUGGUUUCGGCA